rnacentral:rRNA from 1 species
ACUCCUACGGGAGGCAGCAGUAGGGAAUCUUCCGCAAUGGACGAAAGUCUGACGGAGCAACGCCGCGUGAGUGAAGAAGGUUUUCGGAUCGUAAAACUCUGUUGUCAGAGAAGAACAUGUCGGAGAGUAACUGCUCCGGCCUUGACGGUAUCUGACCAGAAAGCCACGGCUAACUACGUGCCAGCAGCCGCGGUAAUA